rnacentral:rRNA from 1 species
CAGCCGCCACGGUAAUACAUAGGUGGCAAGCGUUGUCCGGAAUUAUUGGGCGUAAAGGGCUCGCAGGCGGUUUCUUAAGUCUGAUGUGAAAGCCCCCGGCUCAACCGGGGAGGGUCAUUGGAAACUGGGAAACUUGAGUGCAGAAGAGGAGAGUGGAAUUCCACGUGUAGCGGUGAGAUGCGUAGAGAUGUGGAGGAACACCAGUGGCGAAGGCGACUCUCUGGUCUGUAACUGACGCUGAGGAGCGAAAGCGUGGGGAGCGAACAGGAUUAGAUACCCCGGUAGUCCCUGUCUCUUAUAC